UCUUCCGUAGUAUAGUGGUCAGUAUGUGAGCUUGUCAAUCCGGCGAACUCCACAUGGAUUCAAUGAAUAACAACGCUCGAGACCCGGGUUCAAUUCCCGGCGGGAGAG